GACGAACGCUGGCGGCGUGCUUAACACAUGCAAGUCGAACGGAAAGGCCCUGCUUUUGUGGGGUGCUCGAGUGGCGAACGGGUGAGUAACACGUGAGUAACCUGCCCUUGACUUUGGGAUAACUUCAGGAAACUGGGGCUAAUACCGGAUAGGAGCUCCUGCUGCAUGGUGGGGGUUGGAUAGUUUCGGCGGUUGGGGAUGGACUCGCGGCUUAUCAGCUUGUUGGUGGGGUAGUGGCUUACCAAGGCUUUGACGGGUAGCCGGCCUGGGAGGGGGACCGGCCACAUUGGGACUGAGAUACGGCCCAGACUCGUACGGGAGGCAGCAGAGGGGAAUAGUGCACAAUGGGCGGAAGCAUGAUGCAGCAACGCAGCGUGCGGGGUGACGGCCUUCGGGUUGUAUACCACUUUCGCCUGUGACGAAGCGUGAGUGACGGUAAUGGGUAAAGAAGCACCGGCUAACUACGUG
rnacentral:rRNA from 1 species